rfam:Ictidomys tridecemlineatus contig074906, whole genome shotgun sequence.
AGAGUUGUGGCUUAGUGGUAGAGCAUUUGCCUCACACACAUAAGGCACUGGGUUUGAAUCUCAGCACCACAU